ACAAGAGUGGGACUAAAACCCACAUAUACAGGGCUACAACCUGCCGCCUAUUUCGGCCAUCUUACCCG
rnacentral:tRNA from 1 species